rnacentral:rRNA from 1 species
UGGCAGACGGGUGAGUAACAUGUGGGUAUCUACCCUUUGGCCUGGAAUAACACGAGGAAACUUGUGCUAAUACCGGAUAAGUCUUUACGGAGAAAGCUUUAUGCACCAUUGGAUGAGCCCGCACUUGAUUAGUUUGUUGGUAGGGUAAUGGCCUACCAAGACUAUGAUCAAUAGCUGAUUUGAGAGGAUGAUCAGCCACAUUGGGACUGAGACACGGCCCAAACUCCUACGGGAGGCAGCAGUGGGGAAUCUUGCACAAUGGAGGAAACUCUGAUGCAGCGAUGCCGCGUGAGUGAAGAAGGCCUUUGGGUUGUAAAGCUCUUUCGUCGGGGAAGAAAAUGACUGUACCCGAAUAAGAAGGUCCGGCUAACUUCGUGCCAGCAGCCGCGGUAAUACGAAGGGACCUAGCGUAGUUCGGAAUUACUGGGCUUAAAGAGUUCGUAGGUGGUUGAAAUAGUUGGUGGUGAAAUCCCAGAGCUUAACUCUGGAACUGCCAUCAAAACUUUUCAGCUAGAGUAUGAUA